ensembl:lncRNA novel transcript, antisense to MTFR1
AUUAAACUUUCUAUUUUCUUAAAACUCUCACAUCAGGUAUUUCCAGUGUUUUCAAGCAUGUAUAAAUAUUUUAAUGUAUAAAUGUUGUUUAAAAUCCCCUCAAUCGGUAUCUCCUGAUUGAGAAAAUACACAGUGACCAAUAGCUAAUAGGAAUUCAGUAUUGCUUUCAAAGAAAUGUGCAUAUUAAUCACUGUAGCAUCUGCAUACAUUUGAAACACGGAGUAAUACAGGUCUGUGCAAGAAUUAGCAGCUUGUUCCUUGCUAAUAAUGACUUGUGUCAUCUGGAAGGCCCCCAAGAGCCCAUGGUCUACAGGUGGAAUGACCACCACUUGGGAGUGAGCUGAUGGAGAGCACCCAGCAGGUCUCCUCCAUCUUCCUGGUUCCUGUGCUCACCAUAGGGCUGGUGUACAUUGGGCCAUUAAUAAACGUUUGUUGAACAAAUUAA